rnacentral:rRNA from 1 species
AGAGCUGGCGGCAGGCUUACACAUGCAAGUCGAGCGGAGAGAGGUAGCUUGCUACUGAUCUUAGCGGCGGACGGGUGAGUAAUGCUUAGGAAUCUGCCUAUUAGUGGGGGACAACAUUUCGAAAGGAAUGCUAAUACCGCAUACGUCCUACGGGAGAAAGCAGGGGAUCUUCGGACCUUGCGCUAAUAGAUGAGCCUAAGUCGGAUUAGCUAGUUGGUGGGGUAAAGGCCUACCAAGGCGACGAUCUGUAGCGGGUCUGAGAGGAUGAUCCGCCACACUGGGACUGAGACACGGCCCAGACUCCUACGGGAGGCAGCAGUGGGGAAUAUUGGACAAUGGGCGCAAGCCUGAUCCAGCCAUGCCGCGUGUGUGAAGAAGGCCUUAUGGUUGUAAAGCACUUUAAGCGAGGAGGAGGCUACUUUAGUUAAUACCUAGAGAUAGUGGACGUUACUCGCAGAAUAAGCACCGGCUAACUCUGUGCCAGCAGCCGCGGUAAUACAGAGGGUGCAAGCGUUAAUCGGAUUUACUGGGCGUAAAGCGCGCGUAGGCGGCUAAUUAAGUCAAAUGUGAAAUCCCCGAGCUUAACUUGGGAAUUGCAUUCGAUACUGGUUAGCUAGAGUGUGGGAGAGGAUGGUAGAAUUCCAGGUGUAGCGGUGAAAUGCGUAGAGAUCUGGAGGAAUACCGAUGGCGAAGGCAGCCAUCUGGCCUAACACUGACGCUGAGGUGCGAAAGCAUGGGGAGCAAACAGGAUUAGAUACCCUGGUAGUCCA